ACGCUGGUGGGGGAGCUUAAACUAUAAUAAUACCGAAUCUAUAAGACAUUCAAGCCACCAAGAAGAGUCGUCUUCAAUCGUGCGUGAACUCUUCUCAGAAUGUUGAAGAUAUAACACGUUAUUAAUUAUUAAUUAGAAAUAUGUGAAAAUCGUGAUAUUUUGUUAGUUAUUAAAAACAUAUAUAUACUGAGGAUCCAUGGAAAUGUUUAAGGAAAUAUCACAGAUAACCCAAAGGUUCGUGUGCCGACAGAAAUGGACGUUAAUGCUUUGCCUCCUCUUUGCUUUAAUAAUUGUUCCUACUGUAACGCACUUUCUAAAAUGGCCGUCCCCCGGUGACACGGAUAUGGACAACGUUCCACAGGAGCUUUACGAGGAUGUUUUUCGCAGAUGGUAUAAUCUUACCGACGGUGAGAAACAUUGGUACAACCUGAAGAAUGAUAUCAAGUGGGACGAUGUGGAUUUACUGCGCGAGGUCAAACGGAAUUGGAUCAUUCAGGAAUACGAUGCUGCGAAACCGUACUCGCUCAACGAUCCUUACCUCAAUGACACCUCGAUGGGCCAAGCCCAGAUGAUACGUGAGAUCUUUCAAGAGAAGAAGGGCGGAUUCUUCGUCGAAUGUGGCGCUUAUGACGGAGAAACGCGUAGUAACACUCUUAAUCUUGAGAGAUUUUAUAAUUGGACAGGUCUUCUCAUCGAGGCUGAUCCAAUUAACUUUACGAAAAUGCUGAUAAAGAACAGGAAGGCUUGGCUGACACCAUCUUGUCUGAGCAUCGAACCUCGUCCGAUGGUGGCGAAUUUUCUAAUGGCCAAGAACAUUGGACGACUUCAUGAUCCUGAGCAUUCCGAGGAAGGCAUUGAGAACACGGCGGACGUUGCGCAUACCGGUACCCAUGUCAAAGUUCAGUGCUUUCCACUUGCGACCUACGCCGCGGCGCUAGAUGUCACCACUAUAGAUUAUUUCAGUCUUGACAUUGAAGGCAAUGAGAUGGAGGUCCUAGAAACGAUACCAUUUGAUCGUCUGGAUAUCAAGACUCUCUCGGUCGAGUAUGUUCACGGCAAGAAGGAUCGCGACUAUAUGAUUAAUUUCAUGAAGAAGCGUGGAUACCACGUGUACAAUUUUGUCGAACGCGAUGACAACCUCGCUAAUGACGUCAUCUUCGUUAAAAACACUCUACCCAACAGUCCAUUACACGAAUUGUAGAAAUUACCUCAGUCAGAAAAAUGAUGCCAUUAACAAAGAAAUAAUUCUGCUCGGCUUAGAAGCGAUUCCGUUUCUUAAUAUUGAAACUAAGCGUGAAUUAAUUACCAUGAGUAUUUUGGAACAAAAGAGACUUGGCUUUCGGUGAAAUUCAUCACCUUUCCGCGUUAGCAAAACGGGGUAUAAGAAAGGACAAAGGAAGUGGAGGGAUGGAAUUAGAUAAAAUAAAGCAAAACUCCGUGGAAACGAAAAGAAUGUAACGACAAAGAUAAAGAGACAUAUUUUACCGUCGAA